UACAGAGACUGCAAGCGUUAUUCGGAUUCACUGGGCGUAAAGGUGCGCCGGUGGCCAAGUGUGUUAGGCGUGAAAGCCCGGGGCUUAACCCCGGAAUUGCACCUAAAACUACUUGGCUAGAGCAUUGGAGAGGGGAGCAGAAUUCACGGUGUAGCAGUGAAAUGCGUAGAUAUCGUGAGGAAUACCAGAGGCGAAGGCGGCUCCCUGGACAAUUGCUGACGCUCAGGCACGAAAGCGUGGGGAGCAAAAGGG
rnacentral:rRNA from 1 species